AGUAAGGAAUAUUGCGCAAUGGGCGAAAGCCUGACGCAGCGACGCCGCGUGGGGGAUGAAGGUCUUCGGAUUGUAAACCCCUUUCGGGAGGGAAGAUGGAGCGAGCAAUCGUUCGGACGGUACCUCCAGAAGCAGCCACGGCCAACUUCGUGCCAGCAGCCGCGGUAAUACGAAGGUGGCAAGCGUUGUUCGGAUUCACUGGGCGUACAGGGUGUGUAGGCGGUUUGGUAAGCCUUCUGUUAAAGCUUCGGGCCCAACCCGGAAAGCGCAGAGGGUACUGCCAGGCUAGAGGGUGGGAGA
rnacentral:rRNA from 1 species